rnacentral:lncRNA from 1 species
ACAAGCUGCAUUCAAGAGUUACUCAAAAUGAUUUUAAUAUACCGAAGAGCCAAAAUAAUUGAAUUUUUUUUGAGAGAAAACCAUCUAACUAAUUCUUUCAACUAUGGGCAUUCCAUAGUAUGAUUUAAACUAAUCAUGUAACUAAGUAGCAUUGUGAACUAAAGAAUGCAAAUACCUAUCUGGAGUUCCAAUGAGAUAGCUAAUCUUUACCGUAUCCAUUAAGAAUUUGAUGAUGGUGAGGGCAACAACAAGGGCAAUGAUGAUGAGGGUGAUGGCAAUGAUAAACUUG